AUCCAUUUUAUGUUACAUUUAUGUCUAUUCCGCUUCCUUUCUUUCUUUAGACCUCAAUCUCUGUACAAAGACCUUAAUCUCUGAUGUGGAACUUCGUCAAAUGCUGUCUGGAAGUCUGAAGGCAGGCUGCCCACCGCGGGAAGUCACAAGUCCUCCAAAAGCAGAGGUACGGCUGGGCUGGGGACAUACUGCGGGCCUGCUUUUGCAAAGGUUUCCAGGCAAGGCCAGGCUGCAGCGAGCAAGCUCCUGUGUGUGCUCACAAACACACCUGCUCUGUGCAUUAUUUCCCAUUAAUGCAAAUCACCUUCCACCCAAUGCAAUUUCUUCUGCUGCGAAAGUAUGACAGUUGUGAACAAAAUAGCUCAGCUAAAAUUGAUUGUAGAAGGGACUUUGGCCCCUGUGUUAGACCACAUAUAGAAAUCUGGCCGUGAUCUUGCCUUAAAUAUGAAACAGAAUAACAACAGCAACUUACUCCUUCUCCACAUGGUCUGUUUAUUUAUUUAUUUCUUUUUUUCAAACAGGUUGUUGCUAAAUAACCAAAUCUAUUAAAAAUGCAAGUUGAUUUCAGCAUUACCAGACCCACAUUGUUUUGUGGGACAGUUUUGCUUUAUGAAUGCUAUUUACCUAGUCCAGCUUUUUCUUCCUCCCCUAAGGUUUUCCAAGGGAACACAAAGAUAGAAAUUUUAUACCAAAUGGAACUGUUGGACAGGAGGUAUUCAAGUGGAUCACCCGAUGAAUACUUGAAGCAUCUACUGCAGAAGACCUCAAUAAUGCAUAAGAACAUCUGGAAGUACGGUAAUUUCAGCUAUCAGAGAUAAGAAUUGACACAAAACAGGUAAACCCUACAAAGUCAUCAUGUUGAAAUGAGCUGAUUAAGGUCUGGUAACAUAAAACAUCAUGUAUAGUGUUUUCAUGCUUGCUACAUCUUCCCAUUUUAUAUAUAAAAAAGGAAUGCCAAUUAUUUAAUCCUUUUCAGUGUAUUUAAUAGGUUGAUUAGCUGGAAACUAUAUUAUAUUUUUACAUAAAGAGACAGAAGUGACUGCAAAUCUAUCGCCAUAUACAUCUAUUUAGAGUUAACUGUGAGUUCAUAGAAAAUACAUGGGCAUAGUAAACAGGGUUUUGAAAUGACAAUUUUUUACUGGUUGCAAGUGCUAAUUGCUAGUUUCUCAAGGGUAUAGAAUUAAUCACCUGCUAGAUUUACAGUCUCUAGGUUGAGACCUGAGGAUGGAGGCAAUAAGAAAAGCUCUUGAGGGACAUAUCAUAUGGUGAGUCUAAAUAUCAGUCUCUAUGCAUAUGUAAAUUGGCAACAAAGUUUUUUCAAAGCUCAAGUAUGCUAAUUUCAAACAGGCAAGACUAAAGCUAGCUUUUAGCAGCUGUUUAACGUCUGCCUGUGGGUGGUAGAGAGAGCUUAAAAUACAAGCAAACAGUGGUGCAUAAGUAAUUAAGCAACAUUUUGCUGGGCAUAAAUAAUUCUGUUUAUAUUGCUCUUUGAAGAGUAUAGAAUACAAAAUAACAGAUCAAGUGCACCUUUGGUCACCAGAGGUUAACUGUUCUUCCUCUUUACCUUUUCUUCGGUUCCACAUUUUUUAGGGGAGAAUUAAAUGAGGGUCAAUGCUGUUCUCCGUCAUUUGUAUAUUAAAGAAGUUCAUUUAACGCUGCAGCAAAACAAACGCUUAAAAGUUUUUAACGUGCCAUUUUGGCAGUUCAAUAGCUGUUCUCAGAUAAUUUCACUUCCUAGAAUAAACUUUCCUUAUGCUGUAAAGUGGGUCUGAAA
ensembl:lncRNA